rnacentral:rRNA from 1 species
CAAGUCGUACGCUAGCCGCUGAAUUGAUCCUUCGGGUGAAGUGAGGCAAUGACUAGAGUGGCGAACUGGUGAGUAACACGUAAGAAACCUGCCCUUUAGUGGGGGAUAACAUUUGGAAACAGAUGCUAAUACCGCGUAACAACAAAUCACACAUGUGAUCUGUUUGAAAGGUCCUUUUGGAUCGCUAGAGGAUGGUCUUGCGGCGUAUUAGCUUGUUGGUAGGGUAGAAGCCUACCAAGGCAAUGAUGCGUAGCCGAGUUGAGAGACUGGCCGGCCACAUUGGGACUGAGACACUGCCCAAACUCCUACGGGAGGCUGCAGUAGGGAAUUUUCCGCAAUGCACGAAAGUGUGACGGAGCGACGCCGCGUGUGUGAUGAAGGCUUUCGGGUCGUAAAGCACUGUUGUAAGGGAAGAAUAACUGAAUUCAGAGAAAGUUUUCAGCUUGACGGUACCUUACCAGAAAGGGAUGGCUAAAUACGUGCCAGCAGCCGCGGUAAUACGUAUGUCCCGAGCGUUAUCCGGAUUUAUUGGGCGUAAAGCGAGCGCAGACGGUUUAUUAAGUCUGAUGUGAAAUCCCGAGGCCCAACCUCGGAACUGCAUUGGAAACUGAUUUACUUGAGUGCGAUAGAGGCAAGUGGAACUCCAUGUGUAGCGGUG